UGGGGAAUAUUGGACAAUGGGCGCAAGCCUGAUCCAGCCAUGCCGCGUGUGUGAAGAAGGCCUUUUGGUUGUAAAGCACUUUAAGCGAGGAGGAGGCUACUUGGAUUAAUACUCUAAGAUAGUGGACGUUACUCGCAGAAUAAGCACCGGCUAACUCUGUGCCAGCAGCCGCGGUAAUACAGAGGGUGCGAGCGUUAAUCGGAUUUACUGGGCGUAAAGCGUGCGUAGGCGGCUUCUUAAGUCGGAUGUGAAAUCCCUGAGCUUAACUUAGGAAUUGCAUUAGAUACUGGGAAGCUAGAGUAUGGGAGAGGAUGGUAGAAUUCCAGGUGUAGCGGUGAAAUGCGUAGAGAUCUGGAGGAAUACCGAUGGAGAAGGCAGCCAUCUGGCCUAAUACUGACGCUGAGGUACGAAAGCAUGGGGAGCAAACAGG
rnacentral:rRNA from 1 species